UUACGCUAAUACCGCAUACGAUCUACGGAUGAAAGCGGGGGAUCGCAAGACCUCGCGCGAUUGGAGCGGCCGAUAUCAGAUUAGGUAGUUGGUGGGGUAAAGGCUCACCAAGCCAACGAUCUGUAGCUGGUCUGAGAGGACGACCAGCUACACUGGAACUGAGACACGGUCCAGACUCCUACGGGAGGCAGCAGUGGGGAAUUUUGGACAAUGG
rnacentral:rRNA from 1 species